rnacentral:rRNA from 1 species
UACAGAGGGUGCAAGCGUUAAUCGGAAUUACUGGGCGUAAAGCGCGCGUAGGUGGUUUGUUAAGUUGAAUGCGAAAUCCCCGGGCUCAACCUGGGAACUGCAUCCAAAACUGGCAAGCUAGAGUAGGGCAGAGGGUGGUGGAAUUUCCUGUGUAGCGGUGAAAUGCGUAGAUAUAGGAAGGAACACCAGUGGCGAAGGCGACCACCUGGGCUCAUACUGACACUGAGGUGCGAAAGCGUGGGAGCAAACAGG